UGGGGGAUAUUGCACAAUGGGCGAAAGCCUGAUGCAGCGACGCCGCGUGGGGGAUGAAGGCUUUCGGGUUGUAAACCUCUUUCGCUAUCGAACAAGGCCCGCUUAGGGUGGGUUGAGGGUAGGUGGAGAAGAAGCGCCGGCUAACUACGUGCCAGCAGCCGCGGUAAUACGUAGGGCGCGAGCGUUGUCCGGAACUAUUGGGCGUAAAGGGCUUGUAGGCGGCUUGUUGCGCCUGCUGUGAAAACGCGGGGCUUAACUUCGCGCGUGCAGUGGGUACGGGCAGGCUUGAGUGUGGUAGGGGUGACUGGAAUUCCAGGUGUAGCGGUGGAAUGCGCAGAUAUCUGGAGGAACACCGAUGGCGAAGGCAGGUCACUGGGCCAUUACUGACGCUGAGGAGCGAAAGCAUGGGUAGCGAACAGG
rnacentral:rRNA from 1 species